UACAGAGGGGGCAAGCGUUUGUUCGGAAUUACUGGGCGUAAAGGGCGCGUAGGCGGCCUUCUAAGUCGAACGUGAAAUCCCCGGGCUCAACCCCGGGAACUGCGUCCGAUACUGGAAGGCUUGAAUCCGGGGAGAGGGAUGCAGAAUUCCAGGUGUAGCGGUGAAAUGCGUAGAUAUCUGGAGGAAUACCGGUGGCGAAGGCGGCGAUCCUGGACCGGUAUUGACGCUGAGGCGCGAAAGCUAGGGGAGCAAACGGG
rnacentral:rRNA from 1 species